rnacentral:rRNA from 1 species
AUGAUCUGCCGCAUAUCGGUCACGCCCAACUCCACCCGAGACGCGUCCUUCUCGCUCGCGCCGCCGCCGUCAGCCACUCUCUUCUCCCUCCCCGUGCGGGUCUUCAGCAGCAUGGAGCACCGACGCGCCGGCGGGUACAUCGACAACUACGGCAGCAUCGUCUUCGCCUCGAGCGGCGACGGCCUCCUCCUCCUCAAAGCUACCUGGCAUCGCUUCAGCGCUCACGCCAGCCUGGACAGCCCAAGGCCAAGGGAAGUGCUCGCCAAGGAUCUCGUCGAGGAGGAGCACGUGAGCUACGUGUGCAACCCCGUUACCGGCCAGCUGGUCCGCCUCCCGCCCUCCUGGGGCACGAAGCAUUUGACAACGGCCACGGGGCUCCUCACCCAAGCCGACCGUGGGCGCGGGCCGCCUAAGAGGUACGCCGCCGCCGAGCUCAUCGAGGCCAAGGACGUGGGUCACUUCGUGUUGUGUCGGUUCCGCUCCGAGACUGGGGAGUGGGACGUCAAGGAGCGGCUGUCCCCGCUGCCGCCUGGGCGAGUGAUGCGCAUGUGGAAUCACGAAGUGCUGGCUUUCGCAGGCCGUCUGUGGUGGGUGGACGUGAGCUGGGGCGCCGUCUCCGCCGACCCGUUCAAGGACGAGCCUCAGCUCGGCCACGUCAAGCUGCCGGAAGGCAGCGAGCUUCCUGACCAAGACGCCAAUGAGGGGUUAGAGCUUACCAAGCACAGACGCAUGGGGGUCAGCGAUGGCAGACUGCUAUAUGUGGAGGUUUCAGAGGAGGAGCCAUUUCAGAUCAAGUCGUUCAUGCUGGAUGGCGAGAGCGGCCCCUGGGCGCUGCAGCACCAGGUGUCUCUUGACACGCUGUGGCCCAAUGGAGGGGAUGGUACCAAGGAGAGGCCUUUGGUUGUGGCCAUUGAUCCCCUCAACACUGACCUGCUGUACCUCAACAUGGGCAGUGAAGAAAUUGUUAGCGUCGACUUGCGCGGGAACAGGGUCAUUGAUGCGUAUUCUGUGUUGAGCAGUGACAUUCCUACAGGCUGCCGCUUGGCAAAUAUCUUCCUGCCAUGCGUGCUCCCUUCAUUCCUCGGAUCAAGCCUGAUUCCAGGUGAGCUCACAGUCGCACAUUUCCGUUCUGUCACGCUUCCUGCGUGCAUACUAGUUAGUCUGUUUGACAUUAAGUUAUAA